rnacentral:snRNA from 1 species
AUACUCUGGUUUCUCUUCAGAUCAUGUAAAUCUUUUGCCUUUCAUU